rnacentral:lncRNA from 1 species
CUACUGUAUGUACCUAUGCAGGUUAGCCUCCAUAAAUCUCCGAUGAGGCUUAGGCAGGUACCACGUGCCUGUCAGCAAGCGAAGACAAACAAGAAGCCAAGAACAGUAGUUAUGAUUCCAGAAUUCAUUGCACGAUUUUUUUUAAAUUUCCACAUCAGCCAUGGCAAAUUGCCUGCCUAGCCCAUUGCGAAAAAAAUACCAGCACAUACUGCUCAGCAAAAAGCCAGAUGCCACCCUGUCCAUCAGCAGCUGCAACGUACGGACGCCUCAUCCCUGCAUCUAGAGACUUAGUAUCUUUCGACGACCAUGUGUGGAAUUGCAGGAGUCUCUGAAUAAGAAAGAAUCAUUUCAUAGUUGAUAGCCGACUGAUACCGUAUAUCAGCCA